ACGGCUCAGUAACACGUGGAUAACCUGCCCCUGGGUCCGGCAUAACCCCGGGAAACUGGGGAUAAUUCCGGAUAACGCACAUAUGCUGGAAUGCUUUUUGCGUAAAAUGGAUUCGUCUGCCAAGGAUGGGUCUGCGGCCUAUCAGGUAGUAGUGGGUGUAAUGUACCUACUAGCCUACGUCGGGUACGGGUUGUGAGAGCAAGAGCCCGGAGAUGGAUUCUGAGACAUGAAUCCAGGCCCUACGGGGCGCAGCAGGCGCGAAAACUUUACAAUGCGGGAAACCGUGAUAAGGGGACACCGAGUGCCAGCGUCAUACGCUGGCUGUCCAGGUGUGUAAAAUACACCUGUUAGCAAGGGCCGGGCAAGACCGGUGCCAGCCGCCGCGGUAACACCGGCGGCCCGAGUGGUGAUCGUGAUUAUUGGGUCUAAAGGGUCCGUAGCCGGUUUGGUCAGUCCUCCGGGAAAUCUGACAGCUCAACUGUUAGGCUUUCGGAGGAUACUGCCAGACCUGGAACCAGGGAGAGGUAAGAGGUACUACAGGGGUAGGAGUGAAAUCUUGUAAUCCCUGUGGGACCACCUGUGGCGAAGGCGUCUUACCAGAACGGGUUCGACGGUGAGGGACGAAAGCUGGGGGCACGAACCGGAUUAGAUACCCGGGUAGUCCCAGCCGUAAACGAUGCUCGCUAGGUGUCAGGCAUGGCGCGACUGUGUCUGGUGCCGCAGGGAAGCCGUGAAGCGAGCCACCUGGGAAGUACGGCCGCAAGGCUGAAACUUAAAGGAAUUGGCGGGGGAGCAC
rnacentral:rRNA from 1 species